ACGCUCGACACCUACGAGAGGCAGCAGUCGGGAAUAUUGCGCAAUGGAGGAAACUCUGACGCAGUGACGCCGCGUAUGGGAAGAAGGUUUUCGGAUUGUAAACCAUUUUAGACAAGGAAGAAACAAGACAGUACUUGUAGAAUAAGCUCCGGCUAACUACGUGCCUGCAGCCGCGGUAAUCUGAGCGGGCUGGCAAGGC
rnacentral:rRNA from 1 species